GUGUUUUUCAGGGAAACAUUUAUUGUGAGUGAUAAGUGUUCAUGUUACAUGGCUGUGCAUCGGCUCUUUAACAAUCCUUCAGCUAGUUUGGCAGUGCUGCUCAGUUGUUUGUCUUUACAAGUCCACAGUAGCUUAGCUUGAAAAUAAAUAAAGCAUGCUGCCUUCAAGUCAUGUCAGAGUCAUAUACACCAUGAUGGUUAAUUAUUAAAGAGACUUUUUGUGUAGGGUUCGUGUCGAUGAUAAAAUCACAUUAGAAGCUAAUGGCUAUAGAGCACAACAGUUGGGUUCCAGAAGUACAAUCCCAUUCAUCUUCUCAAUAGAGUUAUAGCAUUAUUGUAUAAACCUUUCAAGACAGAUCCACAUGAGCUCCGUAUAACAUAUAAUCAUCUACAUGAGACGUUCUUCUGUGUAAGUUAAUGAUUUCAAGGCAGAUUUCAUGGAAUGAGAGUCCACUUUCUCAAAGCAAAUUUACAAAAAGAGAUAAGGAAAGAGACUGAUGCCAUCAAAACAAAUGUAAAUUAAUCUAAAAUAACAAAUUCAAUUAAUAAUAAUAAAAAAAAAAAUCUAAUUAAAAUUAAAUAAAUUCAAAUUAACUAUUCAAAGAUAUUUGUAUUAUAUUUAAUACAAACAAUAUCUAAUAAACAAGGAAUGACUGCACAUCAAGAGUUCUACAUAAUAUUUUAUAGAGUAUUAUUUCCAAAAAAAAUUAAACUACACCGUCUUGUACUUUUGCCUUUUUCUCAGAUUUCCAUACAUUUUAGGAGCAAGAUGUAAAGUUUGUGAUUCAUCUUCCAGCUGGUUGGUCUUCAUAGUUUAAAACUCAAAUGUUUUCAAGAUUAGAAUAGAUAAUGGAUAAUAGAAUUAUAAACAGAUAAUGAAUGAGAAAAAUACUUGUGGAACCAAGGGUGUGAAUGUUGAUAUAAUGUAAAACUAAUUUGUAAACAUUUUGUGAAAUACAUUUUCAGUCAUUAUAUGCGGUUUCACAAGAAUGAUAAAAUAUAUAUUUUUUACAAUUCAUCUUAAAUUGCACCUAAUGUGCAUCAUUUCUUCUUCAUUUAGACUAAAAAUGCAUUGUAAGGUUCCCAGCUAACAAAAAUGUUCUAAGAAUGUUUAACGUUACUAUGCAUUAAGUUAUGAAAAUAUUACUUCUGACAAAAGUGUGAACAUUCUAAAUAUCUAAAUGUUUCAAAAACGUUUUUUUUUUCCUUCUUUUUUUUGGUUAUGCAAACAUUUAAUUUAAUAAUUUUGCAAACAUUAUGGGAACGUUACUUUCGAAUGUUCUCUGAACAUUCCAAAAUAAUGACACACAUUAGAUAAGUGUGUAUCUCACGAACUUUGAAUGAACACUGUAUUAACAUUCUAACCAAGUUCUGUGAACAUUCCCUGUUAGCUGGGUUAAAGACACAUAAAUAUGCUCAACUCAUCCGUAUUAUUUCAAGCCAAAUCACUUCACAUCAUAAUUAUGACUUCCGAACUCUUAAGUAGGAACUUCCCAGGAGGACCUGAAGACAGAAUAAACACUGUGCGCUGAGUGAGUGGCUGACCUCAAGUGCUACGGCCCACGUCUGACGCCAUUCUGCUGGACGACAGUCUCUCCUCGCAGUG
ensembl:lncRNA